rnacentral:lncRNA from 1 species
GCCCGGGCGGGGGGCGUCGCGCCCGCUCCCCCUCGUGUGGGCCCCGCCGUGGGAGCCGCAGGCGGGGCGUUACGGGCCAGGCGGGCUGGCGUCGGGAGGUGACGGCGCGGAGGGCUCUUUUUCCGCUUGGGAGGUUGCGCGUGCGGGUCGAAGUCCUGCAUAUUGCGCUUGCACAAGUGACACCAGCCCUGUAGCGGCGGUGGGGGUUUGGGCCUCGAACAUACCCCUUUUGUGGGUCCUGCAGCCCCAUAUCUUGAUCCUGACAGACAUGUUGCAUCGUUCCACAACCCUUCCUGCAUGUGAAUCAGAUAUUGUGUGCAGACCUGGAUGGCAUGUAAAAUAGUUAAUAACACAGAGGUAAAAUCAGUCCUUCUAAUGCUAUAAAUCUGGCCAUGGGAGUUUUUUGCAUUCUGGUCAAUAGCUCUGCUUGUGCGCAUAGUUGUUCAUUGAAUCAUUCUGUUUCUUUCACUCCCUCAUUUGGCCAUUCACUCACAGAAUGUAUUCAUCCCAAGGUGCAUUUUGCUCUUCUUGUUUUCUUAUUGGUAGCUUUAGAAUGAUUUAAACAAACAAGGACAUACAUUAUUUAGUAGUGGCAAAUAUAUUAUGGUAGCAGCAGAAGACUCCAGGUGGGAUUGUAACCUCAUUCCACUGUGCAAAUACAGAGGAGGACAGUCCCUGUCCUGAAUGGUUUACAAUUCAGAGAUUGUGUAUUUCAUAGCAGAGAAGAUAGAUUAAAAGGACCUAAUGGUUUCUGGGUAAGGAGGUUGGAGUGUCCUAAUUUACCAUGAAAUAAGUCAGCAGUAUAGAUGGUAAUACAAGAAAAGUUAUAAAGGCAUGAAAGAUAUAUAGCAUAGAUCCUGUACGCAACAGCCAUCAUCUCCUGACGUAAGUCAAAUGCCACUUGUGUCUUCCCAAUGAUAUAAGACUAUGUGAACUAGGGCAUGGAACAAUAGAUGGAAAAAAUGCCUUGCUGGAGGCAGAUAUUUGAACACAAAUCGUCCCUACAGGCUGAUGCAUUAUUGCAGGGUUCCUGGAUUGACUCAUAUUGACAUUAUUUAUGCA